rnacentral:lncRNA from 1 species
CAAGAAUUGGGUAUGGCCUGGCCUGGCCUGGCUCUGGAGGCAUCCUCUGAAGAAUUCUGGGGCCAUGUUGAGGAUACUUUUAAAUGAACUUUUGAUGAGAAACUGGUCAGCCAUUCUGAGAGUGGUGGAAAGCCUGUCAAGGUCACUGCCAAGGACAAGAGAGUCAAUUAGUAUGCAGAUCAGAGCCAAGGAGUUCAAAGGGACACCUGACAUAGUUCCAGUUAAAGUGAAUCCUGGUGUGACAAAGGUAAGUACUGCAGAUGCUGGAGGGAAGUGGAGAAGGGAGGAAUUGGCUCCAUAAAAUGCAGCGUAGUUCACUGCUAGCACCAGGUAGCUGCAACAAUAUAAUAUUUCUCUACAAUUACGAAGAAGAUGCAUCUCAACCAGCUCAUGUCAAAGGAACAUCAAAGUUUUCCACUUUCUUAGUUCUGAAGUCUUGCAGAGCUGUGUCUGCCAAAUUAUAGUAAAUAAAAAAGACACUUGCACAACA